CACCCCCUUCCUCUUGUUUCAUCCCAGAUCCACACACCCAAGUCUUGGUCGGCUAUAGAAGGAGAGAGAUCAAUGAGAGAGAGAGAGAGAGAGAAAAGUGAAGGAGAAAAGAGUUCUCCCAUUGUCUCUUGCAUCCUCUGAUCCUGUGCAAAAGGAGUUCACAUGUAGAUCCAUCUUCGGAUCCUCUUCUAUGAUAAUCAAAGAGGGAGAUCAGAUCUAGAUCAGAGAAGUG
rnacentral:lncRNA from 1 species